rnacentral:rRNA from 1 species
CACGUAGGUGGCAAGCGUUAUCCGGAAUUACUGGGCGUAAAGGGUCCGCAGGUGGGAUGGUCAGUCCGAUGUGACAGUACCCGGCUUAACUGGGUGAGGUCAUUGGAAACUGCCAUUCUUGAGUCACGGAGAGGGAAGCGGAAUUCCGGGUGUAGUGGUGGAAUGCGUAGAGAUCCGGAGGAACUCCAAAGGCGCAAGCAGCUUCCUGGCCGAGGACUGACACUGAGGGACGAAAGCGUGGGGAGCAAACAGG